UGAGUACGAGACGCUAAGGCGUCGAAGUAGUGUAUGUCAUACUUCCAAGAAAAGCUUGCACUGUCAUUCAUAAAAAAUGCCUGUACCAUAACCGACACAGGUGGGUAGGUAGAGUAUACUAAGGGGCGCGAGAUAACUCUCUCUAAGGGACUCGGCAAAAUGACUCCGUAACUUCGGGAGAAGGAGUGCCUUAUUUAUAAGGUUGCAAUAACAAGAUCCAAGCAACUGUUUAUCAAAAACACAGGUCUCCGCUAAGUCUUAAGACGAUGUAUGGGGGCUGACGCCUGCCCAGUGCCAGAAGGUUAAAGAAGUUGGUUAGUGUAUGCGAAGCUGAUGACUGAAGCCCUGGUGAACGGCGGCCGUAACAAUAACGGUCCUAAGGUAGCGAAAUUCCUUGUCGGGUAAGUUCCGACCCGCACGAAAGGCGUAAUGAUUUGGAUACUGUCUCGGAGAGAGGCUCGGUGAAAUAGACUUGUCUGUGAAGAUGCGGACUACCUGCACCAGGACAGAAAGACCCUAUGAAGCUUUACUGUAACUUGAAAUUGGAAUUGGACUUUGCUUGCGCAGUAUAGGUGGGAAGCGUUGAAGAUAUUCUUGCGGGAGUAUUGGAGCUAUCAGUGAGAUACCACUCUUGUAAUGUUAGAUUUCUAACUUUGAACCAUAAUCUGGUCAAAGAACAGUUUCAGGUGGGCAGUUUGACUGGGGCGGUCGCCUCCCAAAUGGUAACGGAGGCGUACAAAGGUUUCCUCCGAACGGAUAGAAAUCGUAUCUAGAGUGUAAAGGCAUAAGGAAGCUUGACUGUGAGACCUACAAGUCGAGCAGGGACGAAAGUCGGUCUUAGUGAUCUGACGGUACUGAGUGGAAAGGCCGUCACUCAACGGAUAAAAGUUACUCUAAGGAUAACAGGCUGAUCUCCCCCAAGAGUUCACAUCGACGGGGAGGUUUGGCACCUCGAUGUCGGCUCAUCGCAUCCUGGGGCGGUAGUACGUCCCAAGGGUUGGGCUGUUCGCCAUGAAAGCGGUACGCGAGCUGGGUUCAGAACGUCGUGAGACAGUUCGGUCCAUAUCCGGUGUAGGCGCUAGAAUAUUGAGAGGAGCCUUCUUUAGUACGAGAGGACCGAGAAGGACACACCGCUGGUGUACCAGUUAUCGUGCCAACGGUAAACGCUGGGUAGCUAUGUGUGGAGUGGAUAACCGCUGAAAGCAUCUAAGUGGGAAGCCCACCUCAAGAUGAGUAUUCCC
rnacentral:rRNA from 1 species